rnacentral:rRNA from 1 species
CCGUGUCGUGAGAUGUUGGGUUAAGUCCCGCAACGAGCGCAACCCUAUUGUUAGUUGCCAUCAUUCAGUUGGGCACUCUAGCGAGACUGCCGGUAAUAAACCGGAGGAAGGUGGGGAUGACGUCAAAUCAUCAUGCCCCUUAUGACCUGGGCUACACACGUGCUACAAUGGUUGGUACAACGAGUUGCGAGUCGGUGACGGCGAGCUAAUCUCUUAAAGCCAAUCUCAGUUCGGAUUGUAGGCUGCAACUCGCCUACAUGAAGUCGGAAUCGCUAGUAAUCGCGGAUCAGCACGCCGCGGUGAAUACGUUCCCGGGCCUU